rnacentral:lncRNA from 1 species
GGAUUUGAUGCACUUCUUCUUCGGAGUCGAUGCUUAGAUUUUUAAGAUGUUCGAUAAAGAUCCUUCUCAACUCACUGUAGCCAGAAGUGGCGAGUCGAGACAAAGAAUAAGCUCGAGUGUUCUUCAAAUGGGGGAUGUGAAAGAUCUCAAAAUAGUUAAAAUUUAUUUGUAGAGAUCUAAGUUUCUAUAAGUACCUGAGAAGAAUAGGAUCUC